GGGGGGGGGGGGGGCUAGGAUGAAAAAUUUUGUCCUGCAUUUUUUUUUAGCUGUAAUCUCUGUCCUGCCUUUUUAUUUUUCACUCUGUUCGGUCCUGCUUUUUUUUUAGUUUAUCCUGACUUGUUUUACCUAAAUUGUCGUCCUGCCUUUUUUUUUUUUGCAAGUGUCUCAUCCUGCCUUUUUUUUUUUUACUCACAACUCCUGUCCUGCCUUUUUCUUCAAAUUUCA
rnacentral:lncRNA from 1 species